AGUGUCGCAUGCGUUAACUCCAUGGUCCGCGGCGUCCGGGGCGGCCUUCUCGCUCGCGGGAUGCUGUGGUUGGCCGACGUGGUGGUUCGGGCCAUUCUGCUGCCUCGGCUGCUGUGUCUGGUCGAUCCGUACGUAUGGAGGAUGCUCCUGCAUCUCAUCAUCGGUCGUUCUGUUGGGGUGGCCGUUCUGUAGGAUCUUCUGGUUCUGCAUGUGGCCGCUCCUUGCCGUUUUCUGGUUCUGGAUGCACGGCGGAUUUUGCGUCGUGAUUUGGGUCUUCUCUCACCGCUCGAGCUUUGGGCACGACCAGCAGAGGAAGACGACCGGCCAUCGGCAACGGAAGACGAGGUGGGCAGCCGCUCCAAGCACGAUAUCAUGUUCCAAGUGAGCGGAUGUCCACGGAGGCGCGCGCGAUGAUGAGGGUGUUCGCGUCUGGAGGUGAUGGCUGCAGGAGUCUCCCGGACAGUGAGACUGGACGUGAUGGUGCCAGCGAUCGGUGAGGUCCCGACGGCGUGCAGCGUGGCUUGCACCGGAGCUGGCGAGGCCAUGGCGACGGUGAGCACGGGGCACGCAGACACAGCAAGGCCAUGGAGUGGCUCAUGAAACGUGUCGAUCGGUGCGGGUCGGCCGUGGGCGGUGUGCUUCGGCAAAGCUCACGUCGCUACUGUGGCGGGUAAUCUCCGUUUGCGCCGUCUGUGCAUGAUGUACGUGUUCGGGUUCACGCAGUGCAGGGAACAUGUUGUCCGUGACCUUCCUUGGCAAGCGGACGCCAAGUUCGGUUUCGGACCAUCGCCUACGUCCUGGUCCAUGACGGCGCGCGGAGGCGGCGCCCUCUUCUGUAGUGUCCAAUGUUAGUGCACUGGUCUGCGCUGCCGAGGGACGUCUCCUUGUCCCACCCCGGGGAGCAUGGGCGUCCUUCCGUUCGGCCGUCACUGCAGAACGCGGUGAGGUAUCAUCUUCCCGUUUCGAUUCAUCCCAUACUAAAUACCUCCAUCCUUACAUGUAUGGUUGUAUCUCAAAUUCGUCAUGCGUGAUGAAUGAUUUUCUAGGUUCGCGUAGUUUACAUUUGCUUUUUUAGUUUGGUUGAUUCCAUGUGUAAAUGGACUGAGGAGUGAUGAGAGAGGGAGAGGCGGAGAAGGGGCCACCUGAGGCGGCCGGACUACCGCCGCCGCUUCCUCGAUCCUCGCCAGGCGGAGGUGCAGGCGCACAUCAGAUCCAUCUGUGCUCUCUUAGUCCCCUAGCGGCGGCGCCGUCAGGAGGAAAGGAGGGGCCAACGGGAUCGGGUGAUGACCGCGGCGACCUGCCGCAUGGUGAGAUCGGACGGGAGAAGGCACGAUGGGUACAAUGGCGGGCGAUCUUCUCCGACGAGACGGAUCCGGUCAUUUGGAUCGAAGGACGUCUUCGAUUUACUCCACGUUCGUGAUGGAUGGCUCUUCUCGAUCUAGAGAACGACGUCCUCGCUGCUGGAUUUAGCUGGAUUUACACCCGAAGGCACCGGAGAUGAUUGAUCUGAUGGGGCCGAUGGUUCAUACACAACCGGGAGGACGGUUUUGGGCGCUUCUGGAGAGCGACGACGAAGAGCAGGUGGAGGGUCAUGUCCCCAUGAAGAAUUCCGGAAUGCCCCUGGCCUCGCAGAGUGUUGUUUCGUUGCCGGAGCCCAAGAUCACGACCAAUCGGCGUUGUUCAAAAAUUCAAACUUCCAAACCGGCCAUGAAGCCGUGGAGCGGACCGAUUCCUAAGGUAAUGAGAGAACCGGUAACGUUGUCAGAUUUCUUGCCGGAAAAUUGGACUCUUGUCACGUGGAAAGAAGAAAGGCAAGAUUGGCCGGCCACCGCCGCCGCCUAGAUCGCCGGUGGCGAGAUCGGCGAGCGUUGUUCGAGCGGCCACACGGACUCGUUUGAACACGUUAUUGGGCCGUAGGCCUGAGCUGGAUGCAACGUCGGACGUUACGAUGGUCGUGGGUCCUCCAGGCGCGGGCGAGGCCCAGCCAAAGGCCCAAGCCUCGUGCCAUCCUGAUCGGACAUACGUGCAUGUAUCGCCGCUGCCUGUCGUCUCUACGAGCGAGUCUAGGGUUCCAGGUCCGGGUUUUCCUUCGCUCGGCACAGGACGGGCAAGGAGGAUCAUGUAUGCUGGCGGCAUGGCAGGACAAGGGCCGCCGCCCGUCAAGCGAGGCCCAGCUCCCGCCGGUGGCACUUUUUCUCCUGGCGGGGCUAGUCGUGGAACUUUGCCGGCCAAUAGGGCUGCCGCCACGGGCGCGGUCGGUCGUGCCGCUACGCCGAUCGCUGGCGCUGGUGCUGUUGGCCACGGUGCCCUGCCUGUGGGUGGUGUUGGCCACGGUGCCCCGCCUAGUGGUGGGGUUAGCGGUGUUGGACGGGGCGGCUUGCCCCCUCCAAGGCCAGCGGUUGGGGGAGGGGUGCAACCCUGAGUCGGGAUCGGCCGGGGUGUUUCGUCCUCUGCGCGGCAGGGGGGGCGAUGCAUCUGGUUCUCUGGUGCCGACGCAUGUGCCCAGACCAAACGCGCGCCAACCGGAUGAAGUGGUGCCGCUACCAGCAGCUAAGGCGCCGGCCCUAGGAAGGGUUCGCAGCGUGCAAGGGCGUGGUGGAUACAGUGGUUACAACAAAGACGGACAGAAUUUCAACCGAUGCAUAUGGUGAGGGACUACACCGUGGAUCUUUGUCCGGUGGCGGCCGUGGAUAUAACCGACAUAAUGAUGAGGACACCAGACAUUUUCAAGGUCCGCCCGGUAAUUUUGUUGAAGGUGUUGCCGGACCCAGGGAUCGCUUCCGAGGUGGAUAUCGCCGCGGUGGGAGAGGGAGACGCCCACCACCGCCUCGACACUACCCACUGCCACCAGCGCCUGCUACGGAUAUGGCUUCGGGGGAGGAGCUCGAGCACGUAGCGGAUGAGGUGGGAGACCCAUCCACGCUACCCGCAGCGGCAGUUGACGCGGUUAGGGCUUUGGCAGCAGUGUAGGUUCCGGUGACUUCUGGAGAGACUAAAUCUAGGGAUGGCGUGUCUGACAAAGGGUCGGAGAAAGCGGAGGGAGAAAAACUCUCUAAAUGGGCGAUUAAGAAGAAAAAGUUGCCUUGCUAUAGAUGUGGUGAACCAGGUCAUUUCGUGGCAGAGUGUAUGAAUGAACUUUGUGACUAUUGCCAGCGCUCACAGCAUGUGACCGGGGACUACCCUCUCCUCUUCGGUCCUAAGCCUGGUAUUAACAUUUUUGAGGUCUGUUGUAAAGAGUUGAUGUUCUUUGAGACACCAGAGGUGGACCCUCUAUCGCAGAUGGUUAAGAGUUCCUUCCCGGCAGUAAUCAGAGUUACUAAUGGACAGUUGACCGAGGCUCAGAUCGUGAGACAGCUACGUGACUUAGUGCCAUGUAAUUAUCAAUGGCAUCUGGAACAGUUAGAAGGUCGGACUUAUAAGGUGGACUUUCCAACUAAAGAGGAUCAGAUGCAUUUUCUUAAGUGGGGUCUAUGCAGAGUCACAAGCACCAACGUCAUUAUCGCUUUCGACGAGUGGAAGUAGGAGGAACCGGAGGGUACACCUUUGGAGAAGGUGUGGGUUUGUUUCUAUGGCGCGCCACCUAAAUGGAUAAAGCAGUUUUUGAUUGCUUGGAGCUUGGGUGCUAUGAUUGGUAAGAUAGAAAAGGUUGACAUGCCAUUCACUCAUGCACAAGGAGUUGCGAGGUUGUUGGUCAGUGUUGUGAGUGUUGAGCAUAUACCAGAUGUGGUUAGAUGAACACAUGCUGGAGUCACUUAUGUAUUAGAGCUUGAGAUCGAGGAUACUGCAGUUUCCCAGGAUGGGGACGGGACACGGGACAUGGAUACGACUGAGGGAGGCGACGCGCCCGGGAAUCAGGAUAAGGGGGCCGAUGAUACACUGCCGGAGUCGUACAAGGGGCCUACUACACACCCAGAUAAGGUAUAUAGUUCUACCAAAGAGGCGCCCCCGUCCACUACUCCGAUGAACACGCUUCGCUUUGGUUCAUUUGCACCGGGGUCCGCUCCUAGUCGGUUAUGAAGCACCAGGGUCGAGGCAGAUGACCCAGCGGAGCUUGAGCUGCCACCAGUGCCGAGUCUGGCCGGCAAGGUGACGGCUACAGAGUCUACACCCGGUGCGAGGGUGGACCCUGAUGGGUCGGCCGCGGGUAUGGGGGUCGUGGGCAGGAAGCCCUUAGCACCCAGUUACAUGCGCCCGACUUCUCUUCGAUGGGAGGGGCGCCUGGACAGGAGGUCGCUGGCGUUCUUCUCACUUCGGCAUCUCCGGUCGAGCUGGGGGUGAGGUGCGGGAAGGAGUCCCGUGCUGUAACCCCUCCACAGGACCCCACCAUCCAGAGUGGCGAGCUGGGGGUGAGGUAUGGGAAGGAGUCCCGUGUCGUAACCCCUCCGCAGGAUUGUGCCUUGCAGGUUGGCCGGGGGACGACGGUUUCUACGGGGGAAAGGGGGGACGGGACCAGUGAGCAGGCGUCUCCAUGGUCCCACUCACCCUUGACCUCUACAGCUGAGGUCCGCUCCACUACGCCCUACCCUUCUUCACCAACGAUAAGGGAGGGCGUGGGAGUCCUGACCGUACCCCUCGAGAGAGGACGACGGAGGAGCUCAUCGCUUUUCGCAGGAUAGCGGAUCUGGUGUCGGCUGGUAGGCGUGUCAGCAACCGGAUCCAGGGACAGCCGGAUGCGGACGACCUGCAGCUAGCGCGUGCCAAGAGGGCCGCCAUGCUUCGUCAUGCCGAGACUACUGCAGGUGCGUCUUUUGAUAAAAGUUGCUCAAUUUUACACUUCUCUGAGAAUGAAAUAGUUGAUAAGGCAAACGACUUAGGAAUUUCUUUGGGAUCAAAUGAAACAGAGGUCGUCAAAUCUGUUAAUGAUAUUUUA